GAUGAACGCUGGCGGCGUGCCUAAUACAUGCGAGUCGAGCGAACGGACGAGAAGCUUGCUUCUCUGAUGUUAGCGGCGGACGGGUGAGUAACACGUGGAUAACCUACCUAUAAGACUGGGAUAACUUCGGGAAACCGGAGCUAAUACCGGAUAAUAUUUUGAACCGCAUGGUUCAAAAGUGAAAGACGGUCUUGCUGUCACUUAUAGAUGGAUCCGCGCUGCAUUAGCUAGUUGGUAAGGUAACGGCUUACCAAGGCAACGAUGCAUAGCCGACCUGAGAGGGUGAUCGGCAACACUGGAACUGAGAAACGGUCCAGACUCCUACGGGAGGCAGCAGUAGGGAAUCUUCCGCAAUGGGCGAAAGCCUGACGGAGCAACGCCGCGUGAGUGAUGAAGGUCUUCGGAUCGUAAAACUCUGUUAUUAGGGAAGAACAUAUGUGUAAGUAACUGUGCACAUCUUGACGGUACCUAAUCAGAAAGCCACGGCUAACUACGUG
rnacentral:rRNA from 1 species